GAAGGCAGACCCGGGGAACUGAAACAUCUAAGUACCCGGAGGAAAGGACAGCAAUAGCGACUUCCCUAGUAGCGGCGAGCGAACGGGAACCAGCCGAGCCAUGAAUGUGAUCAGAAGGACCUGGAAAGGUCCGCCAUAGUGGGUGACAGCCCCGUAUGAGAAGCAUGAUUGGACGUAUCAAGUAGGGCGGAACACGUGAAAUUCUGUCUGAAGAUCGGAGGACCACCUUCGAAGGCUAAGUACUCCUUACUGACCGAUAGUGAACCAGUACCGUGAGGGAAAGGUAAAAAGCACCCCG
rnacentral:rRNA from 1 species